AGUGAACGCUGGCGGUAGGCCUAACACAUGCAAGUCGAACGGCAGCACAGGAGAGCUUGCUCUCUGGGUGGCGAGUGGCGGACGGGUGAGGAAUACAUCGGAAUCUACUUUUUCGUGGGGGAUAACGUAGGGAAACUUACGCUAAUACCGCAUACGACCUACGGGUGAAAGCAGGGGAUCUUCGGAACUUGCGCGAUUGAAUGAGCCGAUGUCGGAUUAGGUAGUUGGCGGGGUAAAGGCCCACCAAGGCGACGAUCCGUAGCUGGUCUGAGAGGAUGAUCAGCCACACUGGAACUGAGACACGGUCCAGACUCCUACGGGAGGCAGCAGUGGGGAAUAUUGGACAAUGGGCGCAAGCCUGAUCCAGCCAUACCGCGUGGGUGAAGAAGGCCUUCGGGUUGUAAAGCCCUUUUGUUGGGAAAGAAAUCCAGCUGGUUAAUACCCGGUUGGGAUGACGGUACCCAAAGAAUAAGCACCGGCUAACUUCGUGCCAGCAGCCGCGGUAA
rnacentral:rRNA from 1 species